UACGUAGGGUGCGAGCGUUGUCCGGAAUUAUUGGGCGUAAAGAGCUUGUAGGCGGUCUGUCGCGUCUGCUGUGAAAAUCCGGGGCUCAACCCCGGACUUGCAGUGGGGUACGGGCAGACUAGAGUGUGGUAGGGGAGACUGGAAUUCCUGGUGUAGCGGUGGAAUGCGCAGAUAUCAGGAGGAACACCGAUGGCGAAGGCAGGU
rnacentral:rRNA from 1 species